GGGCAGUCUCUCUGAAAGAGGUUUUGAAAACAGCAGGGACUCACCUGAUUUAAAACUUAGAAUCAUCACCUCUACAAUAUUGCAAUCCACAUCUAAGAAGUCCUAAUCACAUAAGCACAUUAUACAAUAUCCUAGCUUAGCAACCAAAUUCACCUAGCCAACAUCUUAGCAAAUCAUGUAUGAGAUUCCCCUCUACCAACCUCAUUUCUUAACAUAAAUAAAUGUGUAUGCUUUACCUUGGGAGUAUCGAUCACAAGACACAUGGACUCUUACCCCAACAGGUAUCUGAGUAAACAGUUAGUCUUGUUCUGGUUUCUUUUACUCUAUAUCUCCCUUCUCCGAAUCUUUUUUAUCUCAAUUCCAAUGAACAAAGAUGCUGAUGCAGUCCAUCUUAUUCACCUUCUUUUCGAUUUUUUUAUUUUUUUUUCUUUUUCUUUUCUUGACAAAGUGUAGGCGAAUAGUGGGGUUAUCGGUAAUGUACCUACCCCUCGCUUCCAACAAUGUGUGAUCAUUCUAUUAGAGUACAAUAAUGGGGUCAUCGGUAAUGUACCUACCCCUCUAAACCGCAAGAAAUCAUCUCAAACUUUUAUUUUAUUUUAUUAAGAUGCCAAAGGGAGGAGAUAAGGAAACCAAAAUCACUCAGACUUUUACCUUUCAGACCUGAAGGAGGAAUCCGAUCCAGUGUAUACCAAGCCCCAAGACAAGCAGUUAAUUCAAAUUAGGUUGGAGGUCAGCUUCGGUUCCUUCAAACAAUCUUAGCAAGUGUGAACAUAGUUGACAGGUUGAUCCACUUUAGUAUCUUUAGUACUAUCUGCAAUCAGUAAGUCUAGAAUGGUGCUAAAGAGUGGUUAGAUAACAAGCAUGAAUCUAAUAAGUUCAUUAUCCCCUUCUUGAUUCAAUAAAAACAGAUUUGAAAAUAUUUU
rnacentral:lncRNA from 1 species